rnacentral:tRNA from 1 species
UGCCCGGUGGUGCAGUGGUAGCACAGAGGACUUUGGAUCCUCUGACCCUGGUUCGAACCCAGGCCGGGCAGCCA